rnacentral:lncRNA from 1 species
UAGAUCUAUCGGACCCCAAGCAGUUGGCAGAGUUUGCUCGGCCCGGACACAAGAUCAGGCUGAAGAAACCGUCACCGGAGUCAUCAGACAGAACCAUAGCGUGCCCGCACAAGGGCUGCACGAAAAUGUUCCGCGACAACUCGGCGAUGAGGAAGCACCUGCACACGCACGGGCCGCGCGUGCACGUGUGCGCCGAGUGCGGCAAAGCCUUCGUGGAGAGUUCAAAGCUGAAGAGGCAUCAGUUGGUCCACACCGGGGAGAAACCUUUCCAGUGCACCUUCGAGGGCUGCGGGAAGCGGUUCUCUUUGGAUUUCAA